GUAGGUGAACCUGCGGAAGGAUCAUUAACACGAAACUUCUGUUUCAAUACACUUCUGUGCACUACACGAGAGCGAUCAUUUGACUACAAAGGGUUGGUGUUAUCCUAGAUCACUGAGCGUUGGAAGAGUUCGACAAUCAGAAUGCUAGGGCCAACGUAUUGUGGGACGAUCAUAUCUCAAUUUAAAACUCUACCUUAUUAAACUCUUGUUUCAUCCAUAUGGUUAUCAAACCACAUGGUGUGCUGAUAUU
rnacentral:misc_RNA from 1 species